rnacentral:rRNA from 1 species
UUGAUACUAUUAGGCUUGAGUUAAGAAGAGGUAAGCAGAAUUUAUGGUGUAGUAGUGAAAUGCUUAGAUAUCAUAAGGAAUACCAAUAGCGUAGGCAGCUUACUGGUCUUUAACUGACGCUGAGGCACGAAAGCGUGGGGAGCAAACAGAAUUAGAUACCCUGGUAGUCCACGCCGUAAACGAUGAUCACUCGAUAUACAUGAUACAUCAUGUGUGUCUAAGCAAAAGCGUUAAGUGAUCCACCUGGGGAGUAUACUCGCAAGGGUGAAACUCAAAGGAAUUGACGGGGGUCCGCACAAGCGGUGGAGUAUGUGGUUUAAUUCGAUAAUACGCGAGGAACCUUACCUGGGCUAGAAUGUGUUUUGCUACCUUGAGAAAUUGAGGGUUCCUUCGGGACGGAAUACAAGGUGCUGCAUGGCUGUCGUCAGCUCGUGCCGUGAGGUGUUGGGUUAAGUCCUAUAACGAGCGAAACCCUUUUACUUAAUUGCCAGCACGUAAUGGUGGGGACUUUAAGUAGACUGCCCGUGUAAGCGGGAGGAAGGAGAGGACGAGGUCAAGUCAUCAUGGCCUUUAUGCCCAGGGCUACACACGUACCACAAUGGCAUGUACAAAGGGAAGCUACUUGGCAACAAGAUGCAAAUCUCAAAAGCAUGUCUCAGUUCGGAUUGAGGUCUGCAAUUCGACCUCAUGAAGUUGGAAUCGCUAGUAAUCGCGUAUCAGCAAUGACGCGGUGAAUACGUUCUCGGACCUUGUACACACCGCCCAUCAAGCCAUG